CCUGCUCCUAGAGUCAUUGAUAGUGUCUCUGCUAUGUCACAUGUUAUAUCAGUAGGUGGCAGAGAAGAGAAAGGGCAUGUCUACACUCAGUAUUCUGAUCUAUGAACAUCUGAAUGAUUAGUAGCCUAGCAUU